rnacentral:rRNA from 1 species
AUUGAACGCUGGCGGCAGGCCUAACACAUGCAAGUCGAGCGGAUGAGGGGGGCUUGCUCCCUGAUUUAGCGGCGGACGGGUGAGUAAUGCCUAGGAAUCUGCCUGGUAGUGGGGGAUAACGUUCCGAAAGGAACGCUAAUACCGCAUACGUCCUACGGGAGAAAGCAGGGGACCUUCGGGCCUUGCGCUAUCAGAUGAGCCUAGGUCGGAUUAGCUAGUUGGUGAGGUAAUGGCUCACCAAGGCGACGAUCCGUAACUGGUCUGAGAGGAUGAUCAGUCACACUGGAACUGAGACACGGUCCAGACUCCUACGGGAGGCAGCAGUGGGGAAUAUUGGACAAUGGGCGAAAGCCUGAUCCAGCCAUGCCGCGUGUGUGAAGAAGGUCUUCGGAUUGUAAAGCACUUUAAGUUGGGAGGAAGGGCUGCUGGUUAAUACCCUGCAGUUUUGACGUUACCAACAGAAUAAGCACCGGCUAACUUCGUG